UAUCUGACAGGUUCAGGGGCAGGUUCCUGCUGUCAUCUGGAUGUUGUCCAUUCAUCCAUCUCCAGCCAUAGUUCCUCGCUGACUGGGGUCAAUCAUGGGACCAGUCUAGUGGUCUAGCUGCAUGAAAGCAGAUGCCCUGCCAAGAGUCAACCUUGCUGGUUUCUAGGAGGACUGGCUCACUAUGAGGAUGCAGAGCAGAACUUGGGGGUGAGGGGAGAAGAAGCAAUCAACUCUUCAGUGGAAUCCAGGGUCUACCAAGUGGGAGAACAAGGAAUGGAUAAACCUAAGAAGUUGCUGGCUUCCAGUCUCCUGUCCUGACCACUAAUGAAGAGGAGUGUGACAUAAAUAUACAGACUGAUCUGUGUGUCUGAUCUCAUUGCAUCAAGACUGUAAUUACACAACACUCCCUUACCUAGGCCCUGAUUCAGCAAAACACAUAGGAACAACGUGUAAUCAAUCGUCACUGAAGUUAACAACACUUAAGCAUGUGCUAAAUGCUUUGCUGCAAUGGAUCCCAAGUUUGGCCCAUUUUGCCUCCGUGUGACAAAAUGACCCUUCGAACUUCAUGUCCAAGUGUGUAAUAGAUGACAAGGGGGAAAUAAAACAAACAAAACACCCAAACCAUGGUCUUACCAUUG